GAUCCUGGCUCAGGAUGAACGCUAGCGGCAGGCCUAACACAUGCAAGUCGAACGGUCGCAGCAAUGUGAUAGUGGCGCACGGGUGAGUAACGCGUAUGCAACCUACCUUGUACAGGGGGAUAGCUUGGGGAAACCCAGGGUAACACCGCGUAAGCUCCCGUUUCGGCAUCGAGAAGGGAGGGAAUCUACGGAGGUACAGGUUGGGCAUGCGUUCCAUUAGCUAGUUGGUGGGGUAACGGCCCACCAAGGCGACGAUGGAUAGGAGGUCUAAAAGGAUGGUCCCCCACACUGGUACUGAGACACGGACCAGACUCCUACGGGAGGCAGCAGUGAGGAAUAUUGGUCAAUGGGCGAGGGCCUGAACCAGCCAUGCCGCGUGGAGGAAGGAGGCCUUAAGGGUCGUAAACUCCUUUUGUUUGGGACGAACGUGCACCAUGCGUGGUGCAGUGACGGUACCAGAUGAAUAAGCAUCGGCUAACUCCGUGCCAGCAGCCGCGGUAAUACGGAGGAUGCGAGCGUUAUCCGGAUUCACUAGGUUUAAAGGGUGCGUAGGCGGGAUUAUAAGUCAGGGGUUAAAGGCAGUGGCUCAACCAUAUGCAUGCCCUUGAUACUGUAGUUCUUGAGUAUUGUCGAGGGUGGCGGAAUGUGCAGUGUAGCGGUGAAAUGCUUAGAUAUUGCACAGAACACCGAUAGCGAAGGCAGCUGCCCAGCCAACAACUGACGCUGAUGCACGAAAGCGUGGGGAUCGAACAGGAUUAGAUACCCUGGUAGUCCACGCCGUAAACGAUGAUGACUAGCUGUAUGCGGCAGACAGUAUGCGGCUAAGCGAAAGCGAUAAGUCAUCCACCUGGGGAGUACGACGGCAACGUUGAAACUCAAAGGAAUUGACGGGGGCCCGCACAAGCGGAGGAACAUGUGGUUUAAUUCGAUGAUGCGCGAGGAACCUUACCUGGACUUGAACGGAUAGUGACGUGUGGAGAGAUUCACAUUUUAGCAAUAACACUUACCGAGGUGCUGCAUGGCUGUCGUCAGCUCGUGCCGUGAGGUGUCGGGUUAAGUCCCAUAACGAGCGCAACCCCUAUCGUUAGUUGCCAGCGGGUCAAGCCGGGGACUCUAGCGAGACUGCCGCCGUAAGGUGCGAGGAAGGCGGGGAUGACGUCAAGUCAGCACGGCCCUUACGUCCAGGGCUACACACGUGUUACAAUGGCCGGUACAGCGGGGAGCAUGGCAGCGAUGCAAGGCGGAUCCCGAAAGCCGGUCCUAGUUCGGAUCGGAGUCUGCAACUCGACUCCGUGAAGCUGGAUUCGCUAGUAAUCGCAUAUCAGCAACGAUGCGGUGAAUACGUCCCCGGGCCUUGUACACACCGCCCGUCAAGCCAUGGGAGCCGGGGGUGCCUGAAGUGCGUGACCGCAAGGAUCGCCCUAGGGUAAUACUGGUGACUGGGGCUAAGUCGUAACAAGGUA
rnacentral:rRNA from 1 species